UUCCUACGGGGGGCUGCAGUGAGGAAUAUUGAGCAAUGGGCGCAAGCCUGACUCAGCAACGCCGCGUGGAUGAUGACGGCCUUCGGGUUGUAAAAUCCUUUUCUGAGGGAAGAUAAUGACGGUACCUCAGGAAUAAGUUCCGGCUAACUACGUGCCAGCAGCCGCGGUAAAACGUAGGGGACAAGCGUUAUCCGGAUUUACUGGGCGUAAAGCGCAUGUAGGUGGCUUGACAAGUUGGACGUGAAAGCUCCCGGCUUAACUGGGAGAGGUCGUUCAAAACUGGCAAGCGUGAGGUUGGAAGAGGAGAGCAGAAUUCCCGGUGUAGUGGUGGAAUGCGUAGAUAUCGGGAGGAAUACCAGUGGCGAAAGCGGCUCUCUGGUUCAAUUCUGACACUGAGAUGCGAAAGCGUGGGGAGCGAACGGGAUUAGAUACCCCGGUAGUCUA
rnacentral:rRNA from 1 species